GCGUUGGUAGUGCAAUUGGUGAAAGCACGCGCCCCCGUAUAGGGUGAGAUGCGGGCUUCGAUCCAGCCUGACUCA